rnacentral:misc_RNA from 1 species
AUACUGAUAUAAAUAUGCCAGGCAAUACGCUUUCAGAUAAUAUGGUAACUAAUGUACAAAGAAAACCUAGCAAAUGUAUAUGCCUGCCCACAUUCUAUCUCAGCAAUGCAAAACUGCCACAGCCUCAGGUGGGGUUUUCUUGUCUCAACGGGAAGCUUAGUGCUUCAUUGAUCCUACUCAAAACAAGUCGAAGCGGGACACACGCGACUGCUGGUCCGCCAGCCUUCACAACUACAGGCUUCUGGUCUGCACUCUCUCUCCGGCUGCCGGCGAAAGAUGACAGCCUCCGCAUUUUCCUCGGCGAAGAUGCUGGUUUCUUGAUAUGGGGCCGCCAAGACUUGUCCAAAUCAUGUUCUGAGGCCUUUUUACGUCCACUGGGUUUUGAUUUUGAUCGUGAUGCGGGUGAAGAUCUUGCUUGCCUUGGUUCUGCAACUCUGCUCUUUGGUAAGGAGCCGAGACUACCCAUCGGCGGGCGAUGCUCAUUUCUACUUGUUGUGGGACG